AAGUUUGAUCAUGGCUCAGAACGAACGCUGGCGGCGUGCUUAACACAUGCAAGUCCAACGUGAAAGGGGAGCAAUCCCCCGGUAGGGUGGCGAACGGGUGAGUAAUACAUGGGAAUCUGCCCUGGAGAUGGGGAUAUCCUUCCGAAAGGAGGGUUAAUACCGAAUACCGUCCGGGUGACGAGAGUCGUUUGGGGAAAGGGAGGCCUCUGGCAACAUGCUUCCGCUCCGGGAGGAGCCCAUGGCCCAUCAGCUAGUUGGUAGGGUAACGGCCUACCAAGGCAAAGACGGGUAGCUGGUCUGAGAGGACGAUCAGCCACACUGGCACUGAGACACGGGCCAGACUCCUACGGGAGGCAGCAGUGAGGAAUUUUGCGCAAUGGGGGCAACCCUGACGCAGCAACGCCGCGUGUGGGAAGAAGGCUUUCGGGUUGUAAACCACUUUUGUAAGGGACGAAGUCCUUUCGGAUAAUACCCGAGGGGGAUGACGGUACCUUGCGAAUAAGCCACGGCUAACUCUGUGCCAGCAGCCGCGGUAAGACAGGGGUGGCAAGCGUUGUUCGGAAUAACUGGGCGUAAAGGGUCUGUAGGUGGUUUUUCAAGUCUUUGGUAAAACGCCGUGGCUCAACCAUGGUUUGGCCAAGGAGACUGGGAGACUCGGGGCUGGUAGAGGGAAGCGGAAUUUCUGGUGUAGCGGUGAAAUGCGUAGAGAUCAGAAAGAAGGCCGGUGGCGAAGGCGGCUUCCUGGAACAGACCUGACACUGAGAGACGAAAGCGUGGGGAGCAAACAGGAUUAGAUACCCUGGUAGUCCACGCCCUA
rnacentral:rRNA from 1 species